rnacentral:snoRNA from 1 species
AUGCCCUAUGCCUUGCUCGGUCUUCUGUUUUUCAUUGGAAGAUCUUGAGCUGGAUGCCAGUUGAAUGUUCAUUUGUCACAUCUGUGUCAAAAUUUUGAAUCUCUUCUGCGUAAGGGGCUACAUCAAAUUCAAGGUUUAAAUUUGAGUGCGAUUUUGCUAUGCGUUUGAAACACCAAUGGCAACAAUUGUAAUUAUUAAAACCUUACAACA